ACGACGGAACACGAGAAAUUCCGUCGGAAUCCGGGAGGACCAUCUCCCAAGGCUAAAUACUCUCUAGUGACCGAUAGUGAACCAGUACCGUGAGGGAAAGGUGAAAAGUACCCCGGAAGGGGAGUGAAAGAGAACUUGAAACCGUGUGCUUACAAGUAGUCAGAGCCCGUUAAUGGGUGAUGGCGUGCCUUUUGUAGAAUGAACCGGCGAGUUACGAUUUGAUGCAAGGUUAAGCAGUGAAUGUGGAGCCGUAGCGAAAGCGAGUCUGAAUAGGGCGUUGAGUAUUUGGUCGUAGACCCGAAACCAGGUGAUCUACCCUUGACCAGGUUGAAGUUCAGGUAACACUGAAUGGAGGACCGAACCGACUUACGUUGAAAAGUGAGCGGAUGAGUUG
rnacentral:rRNA from 1 species